AAGCUCCUGGUAGAAUGGGGUCCUGGUUGGCUUCAGCCCUGAAAUAAGUCCCCAGCAACACAGAGCAGCAGACACUGUGGGCUGUGAGCUAGUUCUGUUCUGACUUGUACAAAUUUGGGCCUCUCUGUGCCUCAGUCCCCUUACAUGAAAAAUGGUACGAAUGAUGAUAAUACUAUUCCUCUUUACCUAUAAGGCUGUUGUGGAGGUGAAAAAUAAUAACGGGCUGUGAAAAUACUUCAUAAACUUUGCUGCCUUCGUACCUGGGAAGCUUGUGUCUGCUUCUGGUGGAGCCAACGCAAGGUGACCCCUAGGACUUCACGUCUGUGGACUGCAGGUCAGCAGGAGGCAGCUGCUGGUCAGUGACAUUCCCCCCAGGCACCAGGUGGCAACAUGCCUGCUCAGCCCCUGGCCUGGACAUCUAUAGCAACUUCAAUUCCUGGAGGAGCUGAGGACACUGUAUAUGAGAUAAAUAGCCAAUGAGAGCCUGUUUCCCAGUGCCUAAAGCCUCAACCUUGAAACCGCAGCUGGAUCAUCUAUUAUUCUUCCCAGAGCACAGAAGAGGCGGCCAGUGACUACAAAUUACAGAUUGCCCAACUUGAGGACUUCCCAUGAAUCCUGCUGGCAUCUGGGGAGCUGCCUGUGCUCCAGGGAUGAUGGAGGCGGGAGCCCCUGUCGAAUGGGACCGGAGUCCUGCAUCUCCACAUCUAGCCUGAUUCU
rnacentral:lncRNA from 1 species